UACAUGCCUUAAAUCCGUCCUACGAUUU
rnacentral:sRNA from 1 species